GAUGAACGCUAGCGGCAGGCCUAACACAUGCAAGUCGAGGGAGAAGCCCUUUCGGGGGCCGAAACCGGCGCACGGGUGCGUAACGCGUAUGCAACCUACCUUUCACAGGGGGAUAGCCCGAAGAAAUUUGGAUUAAUACCCCAUAAUAUUAUUGGAUGGCAUCAUUUGAUAAUUAAAACUGCGGUGGUGAAAGAUGGGCAUGCGUCCUAUUAGCUAGUUGGAGUGGUAACGGCACCCCAAGGCGACGAUAGGUAGGGGUCCUGAGAGGGAGAUCCCCCACAAGGGAAGAGAGGCGGGGACCACACCCGUGGGGGGGGAGGGGGUGAGUAAUAUGGGUGAGGGGAGGAAGGACUAACCCACCCAGGCGGGGGGAAGAAAGAAUGCGUUUGGGGUUGUAAUCUUUUUUUAUAGGAAAAAAAUAAGGUGUACUUUUAGGUUGAUGACGGUACCAAAUAAAAAAGCACCGGCUAACCCCGUG
rnacentral:rRNA from 1 species